GCAUAGCCGUAAACAUUGAUGAAAAAUAAUACCCAACAUCCGCCCGGGAACUACAAACACUAGUUUAAAACCCAAAGGACUUGGCGGUGCUUUAGACCCCCCUAGAGGAGCCUGUUCUAGAACUGAUAACCCCCGUUAAACCUCACCCCCCCUUGUUAUUUCCGCCUAUAUACCGCCGUCGUCAGCUUACCCUGUGAAGGUAAAAUAGUGAGCAAAACCAGUAUAACUCAAAACGUCAGGUCGAGGUGUAGUAUAUGGGGGGGAAAGAAAUGGGCUACAUUCGUUAAUUUACGAAUUACGAAUAAUUUAUUGAAAUAUAAAUUUGAAGGAGGAUUUAGCAGUAAAAGGAAAAUAGAGUGUUCCUUUGAAACCGGCCCUGAAGCGCG
rnacentral:rRNA from 1 species